rnacentral:lncRNA from 1 species
UCAAGAGCAUCAAGCAGAAAAGAGAUAAGAAACACCAGUUGAUAAAGGACUAUCUGGAGAAAGUGAAGCCUAACCUGAGAUCCAUCUGCAUUCCCAUCCUAGUCCUGGAAGUGUCAGAUAUGUAUUUAAUAGCCAGUAUAACUGAUUCAGAAAGCAAGGUCUUUUUCCCAAAAUGAAGGAAAAUUAAUUCCAUUACCUUGCUGACACUGCAUGGGAUGAUGAUUGAAAACAUAUCACAGAUAAUUCCCAAGGAGCCUGCUUACCAAGAGGCAUUUGAAAUAGCAAGGCAGAGAUGGGAGCCACACAAACAAGUUGCCUGGGGCUAGCUCUUAACUUUACUGGAUUUUGCUAGGAGUUUAAUAAUGCAGAACUUGCCCACACACUGACCAAAAUGACUUUUGACAGAAUGAAAACUUACAAAGACAACACCCUCAUCAUUCAGGCCUUAGAAUCAACCAAACUUGAAGGAAGACCAUGCAGGAGAAGAAUGUGCUACAGCAGAGGGAGAGGAA